GACGAACGCUGGCGGCGUGCCUAAUACAUGCAAGUCGAACGCUGAAGGAGGAGCUUGCUUCUCUGGAUGAGUUGCGAACGGGUGAGUAACGCGUAGGUAACCUGCCUGGUAGCGGGGGAUAACUAUUGGAAACGAUAGCUAAUACCGCAUAAGAGUAGAUGUUGCAUGACAUUUGCUUAAAAGGUGCAAUUGCAUCACUACCAGAUGGACCUGCGUUGUAUUAGCUAGUUGGUGGGGUAACGGCUCACCAAGGCGACGAUACAUAGCCGACCUGAGAGGGGGAGCGGCCACACUGGGACUGAGACACGGCCCAGACUCCUACGGGAGGCAGCAGUAGGGAAUCUUCGGCAAUGGACGGAAGUCUGACCGAGCAACGCCGCGUGAGUGAAGAAGGGUGUCGGAUCGUAAAGCUCGGUUGUAAGAGAAGAAAGAGUGUGAGAGUGGAAAGUUCACACUGUGACGGUAUCUUACCAGAAAGGGACGGCUAACUACGUG
rnacentral:rRNA from 1 species